UACGGGGGGAGCAAGCGUUGUUCGGAUUUACUGGGCGUAAAGGGCGCGUAGGCGGUCAGCACAGGUCAGUUGUGAAAUCUCCGGGCUUAACCCGGAAAGGUCAACUGAUACUGUGCGACUAGAGUGCGGAAGGGGCAACUGGAAUUCUCGGUGUAGCGGUGAAAUGCGUAGAUAUCGAGAGGAACACCUGCGGCGAAGGCGGGUUGCUGGGCCGACACUGACGCUGAUGCGCGAAAGCCAGGGGAGCGAACGGG
rnacentral:rRNA from 1 species